GGAUGGGGGAAAUCUACACAUGCUGCCUUGUGUAUCUGUCACCCCACUGACUGCGAACAUUAAUUUGGCUGAUCUGGCUGGCUGGACAGGUGUCUCCAUCCUCCUUCACUGCUUCAUGCACAUCCUUCCUGAAUACAUAAUCCUUCAGUUAAGGGUGUGUCAUAACUGUGCUCCAAUAAGAAAUGUUGGAGUGUAAAUAUAAUAUAAACAAAUAAAUUAAUUAAUACUAU
rnacentral:snRNA from 1 species